rnacentral:rRNA from 1 species
GAUGAACGCUGGCGGCGUGCCUAAUACAUGCAAGUCGAGCGAACGGACGAGAAGCUUGCUUCUCUGAUGUUAGCGGCGGACGGGUGAGUAACACGUGGAUAAACUAACUAUAAGACUGGGAUAACUUCGGGAAACCGGAGCUAAUACCGGAUAAUAUUUUGAACCGCAUGGUUCAAAAGUGAAAGUCGGUAGUGCGGUCGCUUAUAGAUGGAUCCGCGCUGCAUUAGCUAGUUGGUAAGGUAACGGCUUACCCAGGCAACGAUGCAUAGCCGACCUGAGCGGGUGGACGGCUAGCCUGUCUGUGAGAAACGGCCGCGACUCCUACAGGAGGACGCAGUAGGGACUCCUCCGCAAUGCACCAGUGCCUGACGGUGCACCGCGGCGUGAGUCAUGAAGGUCUUCGGCUCCUUAAACUCUGUAAUUAGUGAAGAACAUAUGUGUUAGUAACUGUGAACAUCUUGACGGUACCGAGUCAGAAAGCCACGGCUAACUCCGUG